rnacentral:rRNA from 1 species
GACGAACGCUGGCGGCGCGCCUAACACAUGCAAGUCGAACGAGAGAUGAGGAGCUUGCUCUUCAGAUCGAGUGGCGAACGGGUGAGUAACGCGUGAGGAACCUGCCUCAAAGAGGGGGACAACAGUUGGAAACGACUGCUAAUACCGCAUAAGCCCACGGCUCGGCAUCGAGCAGAGGGAAAAGGAGCAAUCCGCUUUGAGAUGGCCUCGCGUCCGAUUAGCUAGUUGGUGAGGUAACGGCCCACCAAGGCGACGAUCGGUAGCCGGACUGAGAGGUUGAACGGCCACAUUGGGACUGAGACACGGCCCAGACUCCUACGGGAGGCAGCAGUGGGGAAUAUUGCACAAUGGGGGAAACCCUGAUGCAGCGACGCCGCGUGGAGGAAGAAGGUCUUCGGAUUGUAAACUCCUGUUGUUGAGGAAGAUAAUGAC